GAUGAAGAACGUAGCGAAAUGCGAUAAGUAAUGUGAAUUGCAGAAUUCAGUGAAUCAUCGAAUCUUUGAACGCACCUUGCGCCCUUUGGCUAUUCCGAAGGGCAUGCCUGUUUGAGUAUCAUGAACACCUCAACUCUCAUGGCUUGUCAUGAAGAGCUUGGACUAUGGGGGUCUUGCUGGCCUGUGGUCGGCUCCUCUCAAAUGAAUCAGCUUGCCGGUGUUUGGUGGCGUCACAGGUGUGAUAACUAUCUACGCUUGUGGUGUUUUCCACCAGGUAACCUUCAGCAAUGGAGGUUCGCUGGGGCUCAUAAAAGUCUCUCCUCGGUGAGGACAGCUCUUUUUGAACGUUUGAUCCCAAAUCAGGUAGGACUACCCGCUGAACUUAAGCAUAUCAAUAAGCGGAGGA
rnacentral:misc_RNA from 1 species